ACCCAAAAUCCCUGGUUAACGUUAAGCUUAAACAGAAUUAAAUGACGUAUGAAACCUUUAUGCGUUUGCACUGUAAGAAACAGUAAUUCUACAUUGGGUAUUUGGAAGAAGAUAUCCAUAAGUAUAAAUUAUUUGAAUGGUCAUUUUCUGGAACAUGUGCUGCAGUGAAAAGUGAGAAUUUUUAAAGGUGUUUAAUUAUUGUAAGGUGAUAUUCCUUUCCUUUACCCUACCUGUGUUAGCUGGGCAGAACAGCCAUUAUUGUUAAAGGCUCAUUCUCUGUGCUUGUCUUUUUCUCCUACGAUCAGACUCGAGUUCAGUCUUGUCCUGAGAUUCGAGAAAAAUCUGCUAUUGAGGCUUCACCUGUUUCUCUGACAUGUUCACUCGUGUUCCUUAAAACUACACAUACACCAUCUGAAACCACUUGUCCCCUAAGGGGUUGUGGGGAGCCAGAGCCUAACCCAGCAGCGCAGGGCAAAAGGCUGGAGGGGGAGGGGACGCACCGCCAGUCUGUCGCAAGGCACCCCAAGUGGGACUCGAACCCCAGACCCACUGGAGAGCAGGACCCGGUCCAACCCACUGCGCCCCCAUGCCCCUUCCUUAAAACCAGCACUAUUACAUUUUUUCUGAAGUAUUUAUCCUCUUUUGUACUGUUUUAACAUUUAUUGCAUUGUCAUACAAUAGGCCAAAUCAAGUUAAUUUAGGACUGUUUCAACACAAUGCUUUAUUCACCCUACUGGCUUUUUAAAGCGCUGUUCCCAUGGUGCAGGUACUGUAUCUGUUGCCUUCUAGUUAAGAGAACUUUGUACAAAUCCCUGCACCUGCUCCUACUCUCGUACUGUUGAUCUACAUACUUUACCUGAAUUGCUACAGGAAAAAAACUGUCAGUAUUGUCUUUAAGGACCAUUAAGUCUACUUAAGUAAGUAAUAAGGCAGCCUCUCAAUUGGAAAGUUCUGAGAGAAAAGAUCUGUAAUUAUUCUGUGAUGAUAUAUCAAGUUAGGUAGCAGUGUUUAUUGAAAGGUACUGAGCAAAUCACUCAGCACAAAUAUUUGUAUUUUUUUUUACAUAUUGUGUUUUACAGUACUUUAUGCAUAUGUGUGUGUAUAUAUAUAUAUUCAUUUUAUUUACAUUUUUGUACCUAUAAUAUGUACUAGCACUGUGUGGUGUUACAAUAAAAGAUUGCGGUUUUUCUGCUUUGUCCA
rnacentral:lncRNA from 1 species